CAUGGUUCACUCCAGCAUGGGGGCUCCAGAAAUAAGAAUGUCUAAGCCUCUGGAGGCCGAGAAGCAAGGUCUGGACUCCCCAUCAGAGCACACAGACACCGAAAGAAAUGGACCAGACACUAAUCAUCAGAACCCCCAAAAUAAGACCUCCCCAUUCUCCGUGUCCCCAACUGGCCCCAGUACAAAGAUCAAGGCUGAAGACCCCAGUGGUGAUUCAGCCCCAGCAGCACCCCUGCCCCCUCAGCCGGCCCAGCCUCAUCUGCCCCAGGCCCAACUCAUGUUGACGGGCAGCCAGCUAGCUGGGGACAUACAGCAGCUCCUCCAGCUCCAGCAGCUGGUGCUUGUGCCAGGCCACCACCUCCAGCCACCUGCUCAGUUCCUGCUACCGCAGGCCCAGCAGAGCCAGCCAGGCCUGCUACCGACACCAAAUCUAUUCCAGCUACCUCAGCAAACCCAGGGAGCUCUUCUGACCUCCCAGACCCGGGCCGGGCUUCCCACACAGGUGAGACUGUCCAUUGAGUGCACCAGGCCAGGCCAGCAGCAAGGCCUGCUGAAAGCUGGGUAAACAGGGGUCGGGGGUGAGUGGGAGUCUCCUUUCCAUUUGACCCAGCCACACUCUGCCAGUGAUUCGCUGUGAGACCUCAGGCAAGCCCAUCUCCCUGUCUGGGUCAGCCUCUUCCUCUAUAGAAUGAGGGGAGCU
rnacentral:sRNA from 1 species